GGAGUUUAGAUCAAAUUUAAAUGAAGCAUUGUUUUGAAGAUUCAAAGCAAAACAGAGCUGUGUGUAAAAGGACCAAAUCAGGCUGGG